UCGUGCAUAUAAGCAAGCCUUCACCUGUCAUGAGGCUGCUUGCGUCGUGACGUCAACCAAAUCUGCUUCCUUUGUUUGCACUGUUCUGGGUAAGCGUGGCUGUUUUAUCGUUUGUCGGCUUUAAUAAUGGCUAUUAAUGCUAAUUGGUUUAUCUGCUUAGUCUCCUUUGCUGCACCUCCAAUAUCUGGACUGAUCUGUCCAUUCAUUUGUUUGCUGACAGGAAGUUGCACUGCAUCUAGGCGGAAUUGGGGAUCUGAUUAUUUGGCAGUGCAGUCAUUUAUCAGUUCACAGGUAAGCGGCUGCUGCAAGUUAUGUUUUUGUUAGCAGUUGUAUUAAUAAUUUGCUCUAUUCUUUUUAGCCUUCUGAUGACUCAUCAGCAUUGUACCUGGAGUGACACUCGCUGCUGUUUUGCCUACCUAUAAAUUGUUUU